rnacentral:rRNA from 1 species
AGUGAACGCUGGCGGUAGGCCUAACACAUGCAAGUCGAACGGCAGCACAGGAGAGCUUGCUCUCUGGGUGGCGAGUGGCGGACGGGUGAGGAAUACAUCGGAAUCUACUUUUUCGUGGGGGAUAACGUAGGGAAACUUACGCUAAUACCGCAUACGACCUACGGGUGAAAGCAGGGGACCUUCGGGCCUUGCGCGAUUGGAUGAGCCGAUGUCGGAUUAGCUAGUUGGCGGGGUAAAGGCCCACCAAGGCGACGAUCCGUAGCUGGUCUGAGAGGAUGAUCAGCCACCCUGGAACUGAGACACGGUCCAGACUCCUACGGGAGGCAGCAGUGGGGAAUAUUGGACAAUGGGCGCAAGCCUGAUCCAGCCAUACCGCGUGGGUGAAGAAGGCCUUCGGGUUGUAAAGCCCUUUUGUUGGGAAAGAAAUCCAGCUGGCUAAUACCCGGUUGGGAUGACGGUACCCAAAGAGUAAGCACCGGCUAACUUCGUGCCAGCCGCCGCCGUAA